rnacentral:rRNA from 1 species
CCUACGGGUGGCAGCAGUGGGGAAUUUUGGACAAUGGGGGCAACCCUGAUCCAGCCAUGCCGCGUGAGUGAAGAAGGCCUUCGGGUUGUAAAGCUCUUUCGGCCGGGAAGAAAUCGUGCGGGCCAAUACCCUGCAUGGAUGACGGUACCGGAAGAAGAAGCACCGGCUAACUACGUGCCAGCAGCCGCGGUAAUACGUAGGGUGCGAGCGUUAAUCGGAAUUACUGGGCGUAAAGCGUGCGCAGGCGGUGAAAUCCCCGGGCUUAACCUGGGAACUGCGUUUGUGACUGUGGUGCUUGAGUGCGGCAGAGGGGGGUGGAAUUCCACGUGUAGCAGUGAAAUGCGUAGAGAUGUGGAGGAACACCGAUGGCGAAGGCAGCCCCCUGGGUCGACACUGACGCUCAUGCACGAAAGCGUGGGGAGCAAACAGGAUUAGAUACCCUAGUAGUC